GAUGAACGCUGGCGGCGUGCCUAAUACAUGCAAGUCGAGCGAACAGAUGAGGAGCUUGCUCCUCUGACGUUAGCGGCGGACGGGUGAGUAACACGUGGAUAACCUACCUAUAAGACUGGGAUAACUUCGGGAAACCGGAGCUAAUCCCGGAUAAUAUAUUGAACCGCAUGGUUCAAUAGUGAAAGACGGUUUUGCUGUCACUUAUAGAUGGAUCCGCGCCGCAUUAGCUAGUUGGUAAGGUAACGGCUUACCAAGGCAACGAUGCGUAGCCGACCGGAGAGGGUGAUCGGCGACACUGGAACUGAGACACGGUCCAGACUACUACGAGAGGGAGCAGAAGGGAAUCGUCCGCAAUGGGCGAGAGCCUGACGGAGCAACGCCGCGUGAGUGAUGAAGGUCUUCGGAGCGGAAAAAUCUGUUAUUAGGGAAGAACAAAUGUGUAAGUAACUAUGCACGUCUUGACGGUACCUAAUCAGAAAGCCACGGCUAACUACGUG
rnacentral:rRNA from 1 species